AUAUUAUCACGGCAGAAGUUAACUCGAGCAUUCCAAGAUUGAGUGGGCACUCCUUGUUUGCAGGAUGCGAGAGGUGAGGGAGCACAGACAUACAGAUAUGAUGUGAAGACCAGAAGACAACAGUUGGGGGGGUGAGGAUACGAUGCUGGCAGAGUGUGGGAGUGAUGCUGAAAUGUGUUUUUGCGUGUGGCCCGUCUGAAGAAUGCGAAUGACAUUGCAUAAUGAUAUUUUUUUUUCAGAGAUCGUCAGAGUGACCCAAACGGAGCACCAACUACCUUUCACACGGUCAUCUAAUAAAACCAUCACCCAGACUCAGACAGCUAUAACUUUUGACUGGAAACAACCACAACCUGACCAAGCUUCCUUCCAGCCAUGAUUCAAUCCUCUGUCUCUUGUCCUUGACUUAACUCCUUCACCUCCAUAUGCAAGAAGUCACGAUACAGACAAAAGCACCGCACAUCCUUUACAAGCACCUGCUAAGGAGAGAAGGAGUUAAAAGGACAGGUUUUCCAAUGACUGACCAGUAUAAGAGAUAACUGUAGAAUAGAAAAUAAAUGUCUAAUAAGUGUGGUUCGUGAUUAAUCCUUUUUCUGUUUUGGUCAUCACUUGGUGGCAUUCAGAACACUGCAGAAAGCUGUUUGCAUGGACGCAAAGGAAAGAGAGUACAGGAGAUUCAUUUUACCUUUUCUAGCUACAAAACCUUGUAGGAGAGAUUAGGACAACAGUUAAUGUACCUAGAAAAUUGCUGGUUAAUAUGGAAACAUUGUUCAGGGAGGGAAAGAGUUAAGAGGUGACGUGUGAAGCAGCAGUGAAUGGGUUAAGGGCCCGUGUUCAGAAACGCUUUGCUCUCCAACCACGUCUAUUUUCAAAUGCCACAAAAAUGAUUAGCCGAGUUCUCAAGACUGUUUCUCAAGACUUUAAUAAUGUAGAAAUCUUAACAAUUUCUCACUAGAACAGCAAAAAACACCCCGAAAAACGUGUGCAGCUUCAACUCAGAAGUGUUUCAGAGUAUGAUCCGAGGUGUCGAGUGCACGGUGAGUGGCAAUGAGCUGGUGGUGGUGGUGGUGGUGGUAGAGCAUUACGUGGGAACAAGGCAGGUGAGGUGGCUCGUCUAGUACCCCCACCACAAACUGUAUCCAUACAUACAUUGCGUCACUACCUCAUGAAAAAACUGACCUUCCUCAUGUUCUGUUGUUUAUCUAGAAGUUGUCACCGUAAUGUGUUGGGUGUUCUCUAAAACGUCUUUGUAAGGAGUAUGUUUCACAUGUAUGGAGCGGUUCCACUCGUACCACUCUUUUAGACAAGGUGGAAUCAAAAGUUUUUCGUUUUAUCAACUCCUCUCCUCUGACUAUCUUCAGCCUCUCUCUCUCUCAUCGCCACAAUGUUGCAUAUCUUGCUAUCUUCUAUCGCUAUUUUCAUCCUAACUGCUAUUCUGAUGUUGCUAACUGCAUGACUCCCCUUCUCCCGUGGCAUCGCUGCACAAGACUUUCUUCUUUCUCUCGUCGCUAUUUUGUCCACCUCUCUAAUGCAAGAAGUAACCAUUCUCAAUCAUUCAUCCCUUUUUCUUGUAAACUCUGGAACUUCCUACCUGCUUCUGUAUUCCUUCCUUCCUAUGACUUGAACUCUCUCAAGAGGGAGGUUUCAAGACACUUAUCCUUCAAUUUUCGAUGAUUCUCUUGACAUCUCUUUUGGGACUGGCACUUCAGUGGAAUUUUUUUCCCUUUUUUGUUUCCCUUGGCCAGUGACCCUCUUAUGUAAAAAAAUAAAAUAAAUAAAUAAAUA